rnacentral:rRNA from 1 species
CCUACGGGAGGCAGCAGUGAGGAAUACUGCACAAUGGGCGAAAGCCUGAUGCAGCCAUGCCGCGUGUGUGAAGAAGGCCUUCGGGUUGUAAAGCACUUUCAGUUGUGAGGAAAGGUAAGUAGUUAAUAACUGCUUGCUGUGACGUUAGCAACAGAAGAAGCCCCGGCUAACUCCGUGCCAGCAGCCGCGGUAAU